rnacentral:rRNA from 1 species
AUUGAACGCUGGCGGCAGGCCUAACACAUGCAAGUCGAACGGUAACAGAAAGCAGCUUGCUGCUUUGCUGACGAGUGGCGGACGGGUGAGUAAUGUCUGGGAAACUGCCUGAUGGAGGGGGAUAACUACUGGAAACGGUAGCUAAUACCGCAUAACGUCGCAAGACCAAAGAGGGGGACCUUCGGGCCUCUUGCCAUCGGAUGUGCCCAGAUGGGAUUAGCUAGUAGGUGGGGUAAAGGCUCACCUAGGCGACGAUCCCUAGCUAGUCUGAGAGGAUGACGCGGCACACUGGAACUGAGACACGGUCCAGACUCCUACGGUAGGCAGCAGUGGGGAAUACUGCACAAUGGGCGGAAGCCUGAUGCAGCCAGGCCCGGUGUAUGAAGAAGGCCUUAGCGUUGUAAAGUACUUUCAGCGGGGAGGAAGGCAGUAAAGUUAAUACCUGUGCUCAUUGACGUUACCCGCAGAAGAAGCACCGGCUAACUCCGUG